rnacentral:rRNA from 1 species
CAGCCGCCGCGGUAAUACGAAGGGGGCUAGCGUUGUUCGGAAUUACUGGGCGUAAAGCGCACGUAGGCGGAUAUUUAAGUCAGGGGUGAAAUCCCGCAGCUCAACUGCGGAACUGCCUUUGAUACUGGGUAUCUUGAGUAUGGAAGAGGUUAGUGGAAUUGCGAGUGUAGAGGUGAAAUUCGUAGAUAUUCGCAGGAACACCAGUGGCGAAGGCGGCUAACUGGUCCAUAACUGACGCUGAGGCGCGAAAGCUAGGGGAGCAAACAGGAUUAGAUACCCGGGUAGUCCCUGUCUCUUAUAC